ACGAAGGGUGCAAGCGUUGUUCAGAUUAACUGGGUGUAAAGGGUGUGUAGGUUGCUGAUUAAGUAAUACGUUAAAGCCAUGGGUUUAACCUGUGUUCGCGUCUUAUACUGGUCAGAUUGAGUAUGUCAGAGGAAAGCGGAAUUCCUAGUGAAGAGGUAGAAUUCGUAGAUAUUAGGAGGAACGCCAGAGGCGAAAGCGGCUUUCUGGGGCAUAACUGACGCUGAAACACGAAAGCGUGGGGAGCAAACAGG
rnacentral:rRNA from 1 species